AACGCGAAGAACCUUACCCAGGCUUGACAUGCAGUAGACAGUACUAGAAAUAGUAUCUUCCUUCGGGACUGCUGCACAGGUGCUGCAUGGCUGUCGUCAGCUCGUGCCGUGAGGUGUUUGGUUAAGUCCAGCAACGAGCGCAACCCUUAUCAUUAGUUGCCAACAUUUAAGGUGGGAACUCUAAUGAGACUGCCUGGGUUAACCAGGAGGAAGGUGAGGAUGACGUCAAGUCCGCAUGGCCCUUAUGUCUGGGGCUACACACGUGCUACAAUGGCCGGUACAGAAGGCAGCGAAACCGCGAGGUGAAGCAAAUCCCAAAAGCCGGCCCCAGUUCAGAUUGUAGUCUGCAACUCGACUACAUGAAGACGGAAUUGCUAGUAAUGGCAGGUCAGCACACUGCCGUGAAUACGUUCCCGGGCCUUGUACACACCGAGUAUA
rnacentral:rRNA from 1 species